UACGAAGGGGGCUAGCGUUGCUCGGAAUUACUGGGCGUAAAGCGCACGUAGGCGGUCUUUUAAGUCGGGGGUGAAAUCCUGGAGCUCAACUCCAGAACUGCCUUCGAUACUGGAAGACUCGAGUCCGGGAGAGGUGAGUGGAACUGCGAGUGUAGAGGUGAAAUUCGUAGAUAUUCGCAAGAACACCAGUGGCGAAGGCGCUCACUGGCCCGGUACUGACGCUGAGGUGCGAAAGCCAGGGGAGCAAAGCGGG
rnacentral:rRNA from 1 species